AACGUAGGAGACAAACGUUAUCCGGAGUUACUGGGCGUAAAGGGCGUGUAGGUGGUUUCGUAAGUCUGGCGUGAAAUUUCUCGGCUUAACCGAGGCAGGUCGUCGGAUACUGCGGAACUUGAGGACGGUAGAGGCGUGUGGAAUUCCGGGUGUAGUGGUGAAAUGCGUAGAGAUCCGGAGGAACACCAGUGGCGAAGGCGACCACCUGGACUGAUACUGACACUGAGGUGCGAAAGCGUGGGGAGCAAACAGG
rnacentral:rRNA from 1 species